AGACUCCGUGGGCGUAGGACCCUCCGCGCCAGGUGCGGGAUAUAAUCUUGUGGCGCGCCGUUUUUUAAGCCGGUCUGAAAAGCGCAAUAUUUGGGUGGGAGUGACCCAAUUUUCCAGGUGCGUCCGUCACCCCUUUCUUUGACUGGGAAAGGGAACUCCCCGACCCCUUGUGCUUCCCAAGUGAGGCAAUGCCUCGCCCUGCUUAGGCUCGCGCACGGUGCGCGCACCCACUGACCUGCGCCCACUGUCUGGCGCUCCCUAGUGAGAUGAACCCAGUACAUCAGAUGGAAAUGCAGAAAUCACCCGUCUUCUGCAUCACUCACGCUGGGAGCUGUAGACCGGAGCUGUUCCUAUUCGGCCAUCUUGGCUCCUCCCAACCUGCAUAAGACCAGCAUUAUAGGCACGAGGAGAUAAACGAGAAGAGGUAGAAGCAAAGCCUCUAUCAAGAAAGCAACAUUUUCUGGAAAUCACUCAGGUGACUUCCGUCUGGAUCUCAUUGGCAAUAAUCGCAUUACAUGGUCACCUCUACCUGCAAGGGAGGCUGGGAGAGUUUUCAGCUGGGUAUAUUGCUGCCUUAAUCAAAAUCAAAAUCAGCAAAAAGUGGGGAGUGGAUAUUUAUAUGCAGUAUGAGUAUAUGCUGUGGGAGAUUAAGAAAUAUGCCUAAGGCACAAAACUGUGAAGCCAGGACUUAUUUAACUUCAGGUAGUCUGACUCCACAACCCAUAUUCUACACUUCUAGAAAAAUCACAAUGUAUUAAGGAGUGAAAAUGAUUGUCUAUAAGUGUAUACAAGAAAAUUUAACUUCAGCCCAU
rnacentral:lncRNA from 10 species